rnacentral:rRNA from 1 species
AUUCCAGCUCCAAUAGCGUAUAUUUAAGUUGUUGCAGUUAAAAAGCUCGUAGUUGGAUUUCGGAUGGGUUUGACCGGUCCGCCUUUGGUGUGCACUGGUCGCGCCUAUCUUGCUGUCGGGGACGCGCUCCUGGCCUUAAUUGGCUGGGACGCGGAGUCGGCGAUGUUACUUUGAAAAAAUUAGAGUGUUCAAAGCAGGCCUAAGCUCUGAAUACAUUAGCAUGGAAUAACGCUAUAGGACUCUGGUCUUAUUGCGUUGGUCUUCGAGACCGGAGUAAUGAUUAAGAGGGACAGUUGGGGGCAUUCGUAUUUCAUUGUCAGAGGUGAAAUUCUUGGAUUUAUGAAAGACGAACUUCUGCGAAAGCAUUUGCCAAGGAUGUUUUCAUCA